UGACUGACAAAAUCUUUGACGUGUG
rnacentral:piRNA from 1 species